UACAGAGGUCUCAAGCGUUGUUCGGAUUCAUUGGGCGUAAAGGGUGCGUAGGUGGCGCCGUAAGUCAGGUGUGAAAUUUCGGAGCUUAACUCCGAAACUGCAUUUGAUACUGCGGUGCUUGAGGACUGGAGAGGAGACUGGAAUUUACGGUGUAGCAGUGAAAUGCGUAGAGAUCGUAAGGAAGACCAGUGGCGAAGGCGGGUCUCUGGACG
rnacentral:rRNA from 1 species